rnacentral:lncRNA from 1 species
GAUGAGCAACGCCGGCGUCGCCGCCGCGCUGGUGGUGCUGCUGGUCGUGGCGGCGGCGUCGAGCGUGGCCGGGGUCUGCAAGGUGGACACGGGCAGCAUGGUGAGAAACUGCAGGACCUACUGCACGGUGGGCAGCACGGAGGCCAGUCCCAGCAGCGCGUGCUGCGGGGCUGUGCGCGGCGGUGACUUCCACUGCCUCUGCCAGUACAGGAGCGUGCUGCCCAACGACAUCGACGCCAACCGCGCCAUGCAGAUCCCCGGCAAGUGCGGCUACGGGGCGGCCAACUGCUAGUUUCCGUCACGCGCUACCAGCAGCUCGAUUCGCGCCGGCGUGGUC